rnacentral:rRNA from 1 species
AUUGAACGCUGGCGGCAGGCCUAACACAUGCAAGUCGAACGAGUGGCGGACGGGUGAGUAAUGUCUGGGAAACUGCCUGAUGGAGGGGGAUAACUACUGGAAACGGUAGCUAAUACCGCAUACCAUCGGAUGUGCCCAGAUGGGAUUAGCUAGUGGGUGGGGUAAAGGCACACCUAGGCGACGAUCCCUAGCUGGUCUGAGAGGAUGAUCAGCCAGAAGGGAACGGAGACAGGGUCCAGACUCCAACGGGAGGAGGCGGUGGGGAAUAUUGCACAAGGGGAGAAAGCCUGAGGCAGCCAUGCGGCGUGUAGGAAGAAGGCCUUAGGGUUGUAAAGUACUUUCAGGCGGAAGGCGUUACCGACAGAAGAAGCACCGGCUAACUCCGUGCCAGCAGCCGCGGUAAUUC